CGGGCUCCCUCCCGCCCCAAGCCAGCGCCAGGCCGGGUGGCCUGAGGUGGCGGGAAGGGAGAGAGCCUGCGGCGAGCCGGGCUCACCCCGGCCCGCGAGCGCGGCGCCCUACCGGCUGAGACGGAAAAGAAACCAGACACGCACCAGAGGAAGCGGGACGAGUGGAUCCGCACCGGGCUGGCCGGCUCCGGGACAGCGCGCCCCGCCCGGCGUGAGCCGGACCCCGCAGCAGGACGAUCCCGCGCUGCCCGCCGCCGCCGCCGCCGCCGCGCUCCGAGGCCGCCGCCCCCGGCCGGCCGCUCCCAGGCACCGCCGUGACCUGCCCCGGCCGGCCCCGGGCUCUCGGCCGCCGCGGGAGGGCGUGGGGCGGGGCGGCGGCCGCCGGACUCUCCCCUCGCCUUGCCGGGCCGGGCCGGGGCCCCGCUCCGGCGCCCGCUAACGCCAACUGACAGAAGCGCCUCGCUCCGCGGCCGCGCGGAGCUGUUUCCCGGGGGCGGAUUUCUCGCUUCUUCCUCCCUGGAUCCACCUCCUCCCACUCCACCUCCUUCCCCUCCCCUCCCCAGGGGAGGCUCUGGGGCUGAAUAUUUUCUGUCUUGAAUAACACGGGCCCGGGAAACCGACGCUGGAGAAGGGGGAUUACCCGGAGGCCGGAGGGGGGUGCUCGCCUGCCCCCUCCCCGUGGGUCGCGGGACCUACAAGCCCUCGCUCCCCAGCACCCCAAAACCAGAGCGACUGAGCGAAUUUGGCGCGGCUAGCGGAACUGUGAAGAGGCUGCUGCGCUUCUCUGUCCGCCACACUUCAGGUCACAGCGGCUCCGGAGCCGCGGCACAACCGCCUCCUUCCCCACCCAGCUCCCGGGCCUUGUCACAGACCCCGGCAGUUCGCUCCGCCCCACCGCGCCUCACAACAUCUCCCGCUGCAAAUUGUCCAAUCGGGAGACACGAUGGGAGAACGCGAGCCAAUCAGAGACUGUGCUCCUGCUGGUGCUGUUGAGGGUCAUUUUUAUCCUCACUGCGGCGGGGGACUGCCAGCUAUUGUGUCUGAUCAGCUGCCACCGCCGUCCAGAGGGAAAAAAAAGAGGAACAAAACCUAGAAGCUAUGGAGUCCGCUUACCUUUUCCUUCUUUCUUGCUACUCUCCCCUGUAGACUUAGAGUCUUCCCCCGCCCGCCCACCACCUGAGGUCCUGUUUCUUUGUGGGGGACAGGGGAGCGGGGACAUAAAGCAUGCCCUGCAGCUGGGGCACCUGCGCCUUCGUUUUUACAUCUUCCUUAAAGUGGAUGGUGCCAAACCAAAUCGACAGCUAAAUCCUUCGCUUCAAUUCGAGGAAAGACGUUGACGAGAUCAUUUUUAGAUGGCCACGAAAUUUGCAUGUUCUUGACAGCCCGUCACCAAACAAGUCAGCUAACAAUCAAGAAAAGAAAAAUAGAAUAAAAUACAAGGAGGGAUUGCCAGUCAGAUGGUAAUUUACUAAAUAGCCCACUGGCUGUAGCAGUAUCCAGUGCUAGAUACUAUUGAGUAAAUUAACAAGAAGUGAAUAGAAAUUCAGGGUUCAAGUAGCUCACCGCUUGUGGGUUUAUAGAAUAUGUCCAGAAAGGAAAAACAAUUUACAGCACAAAACAACUCCUUACACAUGCAAAUGUGCAUGCACGGCAUAAACGGAAUACCUAACAGCUAGGGACAUUUGGGUUAAAAUUUUUGCACUAGAAAUUUUUGUAAAUGUCGAUUGUGAAAUUUGCAGUUUGAUAAAGGAGAGUAAAAUGUGGGCCAUGAAAGGAGAAGGAAAAGGAAGGAAAACACAUUCUAAGAAUUAUGGAAAAAUAACAUAACCUAGAGAGGCAAUAUUUCUAUAAGAGGUAAUAGGAUGUAAGGACCAAGAUUACAAUCCAACUCCAUUUACCACAUAACUUAGCGCAAAUUAUUACUUAUGUGUCAAAGUACUAGAGCUAUCAAAUUCAACGCCUCCUGCUAGGUAUUCCUCUAAAAGCUUUACACAACGAGAUAGGUGGGUGGUGAAGGAAGGUUUCAAGCCCAGGGGAUCUGGCUCCAGAGUCCAUUCUUUUAUUCACAAUACUAUACUAGGCUGGGCUCAGUGGCUCACGCCUGUAAUCCCAACACUUCGGGAGGCUGAGGUGGGAGGAUCGCUUGAGUCCAGGAGUUUGAGACCAGCGUGGGCAACAUAGGGAGACCUGUUUGUACAAACAAAAUGUUAGCUGGGCGUGGUGGCAUGCGCCUGUAGUCCCAGCUGAUUAGGAGGCUGUGAGGCAGGAGGAUCGCUUGAGCCCAGGAGUUCAAGGCUGCAGUGAGCUUAUUCAAGAGUGCAUCCAGCAGGGCAAACAGACCAGACUGUGUCUCAAAAAAAAAAAAAAAAAAAGAUGAAACAACAGUAUAUUACCUCUUAAUAUGGGUUUUUAAUAAUAACAGCUAACACUUAACUUACUAUGUGUUAAUUAUUGUGGUCUUUCAGUGCCAAUGUAACUCUACUCCUGGGACAAAUAUAAUUGUGAUGUUCCAAAAUUUGGGAAUGUUUUUAAGAACUGUUAUGAUAAGUUACUCUCUUAGGUGUCUCACGUGUAUUAGGCUAUCUGGAUGGAGAGUGCAAAAGGCACAUAGUUAAAAUUUGAAAAAUUUAACUGGGCUUCCACUGGGCCUCUGAGUUGUAACAGCACCCUCCCUAUCUUGCUGGACUGUUGAAGAGAAUCAAAUGAGACAUAGAUGUGAAGAAACUUUUAAGGCCAGGUGCAGUGGCUUAUGCCUGUAAUCUCAGCACUUUGGCAGGCCCAGGCAGGAGGACCGCUUGAGCCCAUGAGUUCGACAAGCCUGGGCAACAUAACGGGGUCCUAUCUCUAUUAAAAAAAUUUUGUUAAGUUAGCCAGGUGUGGUGGUCAAUGCCUGUGGUCCCAGCUACUUGGAAGGCUCAGGUGUGAGGAACGCUUGAGCCCGAGAGAUCAAAGCUGCAGUGAGUCUUGAUCACGCCAGCGCACUCCAGCCAGGGCAACAGAAGACACUUUUAAAAUGUAAAAAAAAAUUAUUUCAAUUAAAAUAUUAUGGACUGAGCAUGGUGGCUUAUGUCUGUAAUCCCAGCUCUUUGGGAGGCCAAGGCGUGCAGAUCACUUAAGGCCGGGAGUUCGAGACCAACCUGGGCAACAUGGUGAAACCCUGUCUCUACUGAAAAUACAAAAAUUAGCCUGGCGUGGUAGCACGAGCCUGGAAUUCCAGCUGCAUGAGAGGCUGAGGCAUGAGAAUCUCUUGAGCCCGGGAGGCAGAGGUUGGAAUGAGCUGAGAUUGCACCACUGCACUCCAGCCGGGAUGACAGAGCGAGGACUCUAUCUCAAAAAAUAAAAUAAAAUAUGAUUAUGAAGCAGAAGUUUGUACUAUUUCCCCAACAGCAACCCUACUGUUUAUAACAUUUUAUUGUUACUGUUUAGGAAUAUAUGAACCCAGUUAAAAAUUAGGUCUAUUCCUUUCUGAAGCCAUGAACAAGAAUAUUUUAAUAUCAGCUCUCAUUUGGAUGCUUUUGCUUGUUUGUUUUGUUUGUUUUUGUUGUUUUUGAGACGGCGUCUCACUCUGUCACCAGGCUGGAGUGCAGUGGCACAGUCUCGGCUCACUGCAACCUCUGCCUCCUGGGCUCAAGAGAUUCUGGUGCCUCAGCUUCCUGAAUAGCUGGAACUACAGGCACACACCACCACACCAGGGUAAUUUUUCUUUCUUUUUCUUUUACACCCCCCCACCGCCACACCCCCGCCGCCACACCUCCCCCCCGCCCCCCCGCCUUAGAGACAGGGUUUCGCCACAUUACCCAUUACCCAGACCAAUCUCGAAUAACUGACACCUCAACCUCCCAAAGUGCUGGGUUUACAGGCGUGAGCCACCGUGCUUGGUCAUUUGGAUGCUCUCUGACCAGACCAAAAAGUGAGUGUGGCACCCCUAUGCAUCUGGAAAGAGGAAGCCUACAGCUGGUUUUUCUCCAUUCCAAAGGCUAAUCGGCUUAAUUGCCGGAGGGUGCAAGCCUUUGGAAUUCUCUUUAGCUGCCCAUGGUGGACAUCUCACUUGUGAACACCUCCACCAGAGGGAGGGCAAGGGAAAAGAAAGGGGGCCAAACUUCAGUCAUGCGGCUAUGUGUUAGUUUCAGUAAGAGAUUUGGUGAAACAAUAGGUUUUGGGGCCAUUGUAACUGAAAGGAGAUUGAAACUAACUGGUUGCUAUCUUGAUAGUUUUCUUUAUCCUCAAAUAUCAUGGAUAAGCAAGAGCUAACAGUAAUUCUAGCUUUGUUUGCUUUGAAGGCUAUUUUCCUCCUUAGAGUAUAGCUAAUAAAUGUGUGGGUUUCCUAUAAUCAAACUUCUUGGAGUAUCCUUUGAAAUAGCCUCUGAAAUUACC
rnacentral:lncRNA from 10 species